rnacentral:pre_miRNA from 1 species
AUCUUUGGUAAUCUAACUAUAUGUGGUUUAAAUAUCAUAAAGCUAGAUCAGCAAAGGA